AUCUAGCUGAUGAAUCCAAAGUAGGACGAAACACACAUCCUGGAU
rfam:Schistosoma curassoni strain Dakar, Senegal genome assembly, scaffold: SCTD_contig0010641